rnacentral:rRNA from 1 species
UACGUAGGGGGCAAGCGUUGUCCGGAUUUAUUGGGCGUAAAGAGCGUGUAGGCGGUCAGGUAGGUCCGUUGUGAAAACUCGAGGCUCAACCUCGAGACGCCGAUGGAAACCAUCUGACUAGAGUCCGGAAGAGGAGAGUGGAAUUCCUGGUGUAGCGGUGAAAUGCGUAGAUAUUGGGAGGAACACCAGUGGCGCAAGCGGCUAUCUGGACUGACAUUGACGCUGAGGCACGAAAGCGUGGGGAUCAAACAGG